AGUGAACGCUGGCGGUAGGCCUAACACAUGCAAGUCGAACGGCAGCACAGUAAGAGCUUGCUCUUACGGGUGGCGAGUGGCGGACGGGUGAGGAAUACAUCGGAAUCUACUUUUUCGUGGGGGAUAAUGUAGGGAAACUUACGCUAAUACCGCAUACGACCUACGGGUGAAAGCAGGGGAUCUUCGGACCUUGCGCGAUUGAAUGAGCCGAUGUCGGAUAGCUAGUUGGCGGGGUAAAGGCCCACCAAGGCGACGAUCCGUAGCUGGUCUGAGAGGAUGAUCAGCCACACUGGAACUGAGACACGGUCCAGACUCCUACGGGAGGCGGCAGUGGGGAAUAUUGGACAAUGGGCGCAAGCCUGAUCCAGCCAUACCGCGUGGGUGAAGAAGGCCUUCGGGUUGUAAAGCCCUUUUGUUGGGAAAGAAAAGCAGCAGGUUAAUACCCCGCUGUUCUGACGGUACCCAAAGAAUAAGCACCGGCUAACUUCGUG
rnacentral:rRNA from 1 species